rnacentral:lncRNA from 1 species
CUCUGUCCUUUAGGCCUAAAAGCUCUGGUCCCAGCAAAUGGCCCACUGCAUUUGGAUAAUGAGGAGAAAGAUGUUUUGAAAAACCUUUCGGCUUUUGUUGGAGCCCCUGCUUAACCAGUUAGGAUCCAGCAUCAGAAAGACCACAUGUGGGCGGAGUCUAGCCCUGAACCAGCGGAAGUGGUGUUGCUGCAGUGUAUAGGGUCAGGCUCCACAGCCCUGCAGCCAGGGGCCCACUCCUACACCAAGACAUGAAAGACCAGAUUUGGCCCCCACGAGACAGAAGUGCUUAUGCAGAGAAUGGCUCAUCACUACCCAUUGCUGUUCGGGGCACUGUGGGGUACAUUUGCUCAUAAACACUAUAUGUGGAGCCACAUCCUGCAGGCCUAAAUGCACUGGGCUACUGUCAUUGUGACCUAGGUGACCUCAAGCACAAGUGGAGGGACCUGUGGGAUCCUGUGUGCAAGAAGAUGGUGGAGAGCCUAGCUCUGGCCUCAUUUUCACGUCUGUGGAGAGCAUGGUGGCUGAGACCUUCUCAGCCAAGUGCCCUGUGCUCUGCCAGGCCCCUUCCAGGGCCCCAGUAGCUGAAAGUUUCAGAACCCAUGGAGUUGAUGACGUAGGUAUCCCCUGCCAGCCCCAGUGGGCCCCUCCUUCUGUGACCUGUGCUUUCUCCCUGCAUGCCCAGUUUCCUGUGGGAAGGGCACACACAGUCCAUCCUGGAGUCCUCAGUGCGUGAUUCUUAACCUUUCACUGGUUUGUCAGGCAUGCACAUGUGCUGGGUGACCAUUGCUGCCCCCUCUUCUGAGUACAGGCUGCUCCCUCUGCAUGGCUAGAUGCAGUCCCUUGCACUGCCUCUUACACAUUCUCCAUCCCAGACUCUGAGUCUUUUCAGCUCCCUUGCCCAGAUCCACC